rnacentral:rRNA from 4 species
AAUCCAUAGGUUAAUGAGGCGAACCGGGGGAACUGAAACAUCUAAGUACCCCGAGGAAAAGAAAUCAACCGAGAUUCCCCCAGUAGCGGCGAGCGAACGGGGAGGAGCCCAGAGCCUGAAUCAGCAUGUGUGUUAGUGGAAGCGUCUGGAAAGGCGCGCGAUACAGGGUGACAGCCCCGUACACAAAAGCGCAUGUGCUGUGAGCUCGAUGAGUAGGGCGGGACACGUGGUAUCCUGUCUGAAUAUGGGGGGACCAUCCUCCAAGGCUAAAUACUCCUGACUGACCGAUAGUGAACCAGUACCGUGAGGGAAAGGCGAAAAGAACCCCGGCGAGGGGAGUGAAAAAGAACCUGAAACCGUGUACGUACAAGCAGUGGGAGCACAGGUUUACCUGUGUGACUGCGUACCUUUUGUAUAAUGGGUCAGCGACUUAUAUUCUGUAGCAAGGUUAACCGAAUAGGGGAGCCGGAGGGAAACCGAGUCUUAAUUGGGCGUUAAGUUGCAGGGUAUAGACCCGAAACCCGGUGAUCUAGCCAUGGGCAGGUUGAAGGUUGGGUAACACUAACUGGAGGACCGAACCGACUAAUGUUGAAAAAUUAGCGGAUGACCUGUGGCUGGGGGUGAAAGGCCAAUCAAACCGGGAGAUAGCUGGUUCUCCCCGAAAGCUAUUUAGGUAGCGCCUCGUGAAUUCAUCUCCGGGGGUAGAGCACUGUUUCGGCUAGGGGGCCAUCCCGGCUUACCAACCCGAUGCAAACUGCGAAUACCGGAGAAUGUUAUCACGGGAGACACACGGCGGGUGCUAACGUCCGUCGUGAAGAGGGAAACAACCCAGACCGCCAGCUAAGGUCCCAAAGUCAUGGUUAAGUGGGAAACGAUGUGGGAAGGCCCAGACAGCCAGGAUGUUGGCUUAGAAGCAGCCAUCAUUUAAAGAAAGCGUAAUAGCUCACUGGUCGAGUCGGCCUGCGCGGAAGAUGUAACGGGGCUAAACCAUGCACCGAAGCUGCGGCAGCGACGCUUAUGCGUUGUUGGGUAGGGGAGCGUUCUGUAAGCCUGCGAAGGUGGCCUGUGAGGGUUGCUGGAGGUAUCAGAAGUGCGAAUGCUGACAUAAGUAACGAUAAAGCGGGUGAAAAGCCCGCUCGCCGGAAGACCAAGGGUUCCUGUCCAACGUUAAUCGGGGCAGGGUGAGUCGACCCCUAAGGCGAGGCCGAAAGGCGUAGUCGAUGGGAAACGGGUUAAUAUUCCCGUACUUGGUGUUACUGCGAAGGGGGGACGGAGAAGGCUAUGUUGGCCGGGCGACGGUUGUCCCGGUUUAAGCGUGUAGGUGUGUGUUCCAGGUAAAUCCGGUUCACUUUAACACUGAGGCGUGACGACGAGGCACUACGGUGCUGAAGCAACAAAUGCCCUGCUUCCAGGAAAAGCCUCUAAGCAUCAGGUAACAUCAAAUCGUACCCCAAACCGACACAGGUGGUCAGGUAGAGAAUACCAAGGCGCUUGAGAGAACUCGGGUGAAGGAACUAGGCAAAAUGGUGCCGUAACUUCGGGAGAAGGCACGCUGACACGUAGGUGAAGUGAUUUACUCAUGGAGCUGAAGUCAGUCGAAGAUACCAGCUGGCUGCAACUGUUUAUUAAAAACACAGCACUGUGCAAACACGAAAGUGGACGUAUACGGUGUGACGCCUGCCCGGUGCCGGAAGGUUAAUUGAUGGGGUCAGCGCAAGCGAAGCUCCUGAUCGAAGCCCCGGUAAACGGCGGCCGUAACUAUAACGGUCCUAAGGUAGCGAAAUUCCUUGUCGGGUAAGUUCCGACCUGCACGAAUGGCGUAAUGAUGGCCAGGCUGUCUCCACCCGAGACUCAGUGAAAUUGAACUCGCUGUGAAGAUGCAGUGUACCCGCGGCAAGACGGAAAGACCCCGUGAACCUUUACUAUAGCUUGACACUGAACAUUGAGCCUUGAUGUGUAGGAUAGGUGGGAGGCUUUGAAGUGUGGACGCCAGUCUGCAUGGAGCCGACCUUGAAAUACCACCCUUUAAUGUUUGAUGUUCUAACGUGGACCCGUUACCCGGGUUGCGGACAGUGUCUGGUGGGUAGUUUGACUGGGGCGGUCUCCUCCUAAAGAGUAACGGAGGAGCACGAAGGUUGGCUAAUCCUGGUCGGACAUCAGGAGGUUAGUGCAAUGGCAUAAGCCAGCUUGACUGCGAGCGUGACGGCGCGAGCAGGUGCGAAAGCAGGUCAUAGUGAUCCGGUGGUUCUGAAUGGAAGGGCCAUCGCUCAACGGAUAAAAGGUACUCCGGGGAUAACAGGCUGAUACCGCCCAAGAGUUCAUAUCGACGGCGGUGUUUGGCACCUCGAUGUCGGCUCAUCACAUCCUGGGGCUGAAGUAGGUCCCAAGGGUAUGGCUGUUCGCCAUUUAAAGUGGUACGCGAGCUGGGUUUAGAACGUCGUGAGACAGUUCGGUCCCUAUCUGCCGUGGGCGCUGGAGAACUGAGGGGGGCUGCUCCUAGUACGAGAGGACCGGAGUGGACGCAUCACUGGUGUUCGGGUUGUCAUGCCAAUGGCACUGCCCGGUAGCUAAAUGCGGAAGAGAUAAGUGCUGAAAGCAUCUAAGCACGAAACUUGCCCCGAG